AUUGAACGCUGGCGGUAGGCCUAACACAUGCAAGUCGAGCGGUAACACAGGGAGCUUGCUCCCGGGUGACGAGCGGCGGACGGGUGAGUAAUGUCUGGGAAACUGCCUGAUGGAGGGGGAUAACUACUGGAAACGGUAGCUAAUACCGCAUAACGUCGCAAGACCAAAGAGGGGGACCUUCGGGCCUCUUGCCAUCAGAUGUGCCCAGAUGGGAUUAGCUAGUAGGUGGGGUAACGGCUCACCUAGGCGACGAUCCCUAGCUGGUCUGAGAGGAUGACCAGCCACACUGGAACUGAGACACGGUCCAGACUCCUACGGGAGGCAGCAGUGGGGAAUAUUGCACAAUGGGCGCAAGCCUGAUGCAGCCAUGCCGCGUGUAUGAAGAAGGCCUUCGGGUUGUAAAGUACUUUCAGCGGGGAGGAAGGUGCUGAGGUUAAUAACCUCAGCGAUUGACGUUACCCGCAGAAGAAGCACCGGCUAACUCCGUGCCAGCCGCCGCAGUAACAC
rnacentral:rRNA from 1 species